UAUGUUGAAAUUGGAAUUACCAUUAUAAUGCACCCCACUUAGAUUUGUCACGCCUAAAAUAUUUUUGAAGUUUAUAUGUAGUGGGAAUAUAUG